GUCAGGUGACAGCCCGGAAGCUGCGGAAGCGGAUGAGGGAAGGGCAGCCGCGGCCCUGGGGGUGGCGGGAGCUGCAGGAGCCGCUCUGCCUCCAGGGGCUCUCCGCGCGGCCCUCAUGCGCCGUCCUCGCUGACAUCUAAGUCCGCCGCUCUCCGCCCUCCGGGGACCGUGGGGUCGCCAGGCCCGCCGCCCUCGCGGUCGAAGUCGUCGUGCGGGCCUGCGGCGGCCACCCAUGGAGAAGGCCGGGCGGGGCAGCGAUGGCGCCCCCCGGGUUCCCGUUCUGCACAUCGUGGUGGUCGGCUUUCACCAUAAAAAGGGCUGCCAGGUUGAAUUCUCUUACCCGCCCCUGAUUCCAGGAGAGGGACAUGACAGCCACACUUUACCUGAAGAAUGGAAAUAUUUGCCCUUCCUUGCCUUACCAGACGGCGCACACAACUACCAGGAAGAUACUGUGUUUUUUCACUUGCCACCCAGAAAUGGAAACGGAGCCACAGUAUAUGGUAUCUCUUGCUAUCGACAAAUUGAAGCCAAGGCAUUGAAAGUAAGACAAGCAGAUGUUACCAGAGAGACCGUUCAGAAAAGUGUCUGUGUUCUAAGCAAGCUGCCUCUCUAUGGCUUACUUCAAGCAAAACUUCAACUCAUUACUCAUGCAUAUUUUGAAGAAAAGGAUUUUUCCCAAAUUUCCAUUCUAAAGGAGCUUUAUGAACAUAUGAAUAGUUCCUUGGGAGGAACUUCAUUAGAAGGAUCCCAAGUAUAUCUUGGUCUAUCUCCUCGAGAUCUUGUCCUUCAUUUUCGACACAAGGUUUUAAUCCUGUUUAAACUAAUUCUUCUUGAAAAAAAGGUUCUUUUUUAUAUUUCUCCAGUGAAUAAAUUGGUGGGUGCAUUGAUGACUGUGUUAUCCCUUUUUCCAGGCAUGAUCGAACAUGGUCUUAGUGACUGUUCUCAGUACCGACCGCGAAAGAGUAUGUCUGAAGAUGGUGGGCUUCAGGAAAGUAAUCCAUCUGCAGAUGAUUUUGUUUCUGCGUCUGCCUCUGACAUUUCAAGUACCAACUUGGGAACUGUCAAGAAAAUCAUGGCAGGAAACCAUGAAGAAGAUGUUGCCAUCAAGAUCGAAGAAUCUUUGUUCCAAGUAGAUGACAGCAGCAAAGGACAGGAACCCAACAAUACUAAUCAAUACUUGAAACCUCCAUCUCGCCCAUCUCCAGAGUCCUCAGAAAGUGACUGGGAGACCUUGGAUCCUAGUGUCUUAGACGACCCCAACUUGAAAGAAAGGGAACAGCUGAGGCCAGACCAGACAGACUUAUUUCCAAAGGACUCUGUCCCUGCAGAAAAUCCUCCAAUUACUGUACAACCUCAAGCUAAUACAGGGCAAGUAGUCCUGGUACCAGGGCUCAUUUCUGGUUUGGAAGAAGACCAGUAUGGCAUGCCUCUGGCCAUCUUUACAAAGGGAUAUCUGUGUUUGCCCUACAUGGCACUGCAGCAGCAUCAUCUUCUCUCUGAUGUCACCGUUCGGGGAUUUGUUGCUGGAGCUACUAACAUCCUUUUUCGACAACAAAAACACCUCAGUGAUGCCAUUGUGGAAGUACGUUUAUGUGUAGAAGAAGCUCUGAUCCAGAUCCAUGAUCCAGAACUCAGGAAGCUGCUUAACCCAACCACUGCAGACCUAAGGUUCGCAGACUACUUGGUGAGACACGUGACCGAGAACCGGGAUGACGUCUUCCUGGACGGCACGGGCUGGGAGGGAGGUGAUGAAUGGAUCCGGGCCCAGUUUGCAGUCUACAUCCAUGCCCUGCUGGCUGCCACACUACAGUUAGAUAACGAAAAGAUACUAUCAGACUAUGGAACGACUUUUGUUACAGCAUGGAAGAAUACUCACAACUACAGAGUAUGGAACAGCAACAAGCAUCCAGCACUUGCAGAAAUAAAUCCAAACCAUCCAUUUCAAGGCCAGUACUCCGUAUCAGACAUGAAGUUAAGAUUCUCACAUUCAGUUCAGAAUAGUGAACGGGGCAAAAAAAUUGGAAACGUCAUGGUCACAACCAGCCGGAAUGUUGUACAGACAGGAAAAGCUGUUGGCCACUCCGUUGGAGGAGCUUUUUCCAGUGCAAAGACAGCUAUGUCUUCGUGGCUUUCUACUUUCACGAAUUCCACCUCCCAAAGUCUCACUGAGCCACCGGACGGGAAGCCUUGAGCAAGGAAACAGAGGCUGCUGUUGCUUUCUUGGGUUUAAGUGUUUCCUGUCUGUCUGCUGCUCCCAGACUGUUCUUCAUCAGCCACUGGUCCACAGCAGGGGACCAUAUGUCGAACUGUUUACAUGGACGGUUGCCCUCUGUCUAAAUGAAUGUCGCAGUAUGCUAAAAUGAUGAAAUCACAACCAUAGCAGGGAUGGCUUCCAGGGACCUGGAAUGGGUGUUCUCAGGAAGUACCUACGGGGAACAGACUGCCUCCAGGAACAAAGGAUGCUUGGAAAGUACACUGUGAGUAUAAUCCACAUAUGACAUAGAGUAUUGGGGAAAUAGAGAGGGUACUGAUGAUAUCUGGUUUAUUUCUUAUGAAAUGUUUAUUUAAGAAGUAAAUUUUCCUAAGGCAUUUGAAAUGAACAUAGGAACAUAAUCUAAAUAUUCCUUAAUUUUCCAGUUUGUGUUUUCUAAAAGCAUAUAUCCAUUUGAGUAUAAUUCAGGAAUUUAGUGGUAAUAAAUUGAAGGACUUAAUAAUGAGAUUCCAUUAAUUCUACUUCUGUCAGGAAAUGUCUAUUUGAGUAUGAUAACUCAAGAAUUCAGUGAUGACAAAUUGAAGGACUUAAUAGUGGGAACUCCAUUAAUUCUACUUCUACGAAGAAAGUAAACCUCAGAAAAUAUUUGAAGACAAGAAAGUAGUACCAAAAAAAAAGGUUAAAAGGUACUUUAAUCAGUGUUGCACUGAGGUUGUACAGAAUUCACUCUUUUUUUGAGUUGGAGUCUCGCUCUGUUAUCCAGGCUGGAGUGCA